rnacentral:tRNA from 2 species
GCCUGAAUAGCUCAGUUGGUAGAGCAGCGCAUUCGUAAUGCGGAGGUCGCGGGUUCGACUCCUGCUUCAGGCA